GCGUAAAAGCUCGUAGUUGGAUUUGUGGCUGUCGCUAGCGGCCUAUCACCUAGUGUUAGUGCUUGCUGGCGUCGCCAUCCUUGGGUGGAGCCUGCGUGGCAUUAGGUUGUCGUGCAGGGGAUGCCCAUCGUUUACUGUGAGAAAAUUAGAGUGUUCAAAGCAGGCUUAUGCCGUUGAAUAUGUUAGCAUGGAAUAAUAAGAUAGGACCUUGGUACUAUUUUGUUGGUUUGCGCACCGAGGUAAUGAUUAAUAGGGACAGUUGGGGGUAUUCGUAUUCCAUUGUCAGAGGUGAAAUUCUUGGAUUUCUGGAAGACGAACUACUGCGAAAGCAUUUACCAAGGAUGUUUUCAUUAAUCAAGAACGAAAGUUAGGGGAUCGAAGAUGAUUAGAUACAAUUCGGUAGUCCACAUCACGCCAAGGAUGUUUUCAUUGAUCAAGAACGAAAGUUAGGGGAUCGAAGACGAUUAGAUACCAUCGUAGUCAACG
rnacentral:rRNA from 1 species